rnacentral:rRNA from 1 species
CCUACGGGUGGCUGCAGUGGGGAAUAUUGGACAAUGGGGGCAACCCUGAUCCAGCCAUGCCGCGUGUGUGAAGAAGGCCCUCGGGUUGUAAAGCACUUUCAGUGAGGAAGAACGCCUGGUGGUUAAUACCCAUCAGGAAAGACAUCACUCACAGAAGAAGCACCGGCUAACUCCGUGCCAGCAGCCGCGGUAAUACGGAGGGUGCGAGCGUUAAUCGGAAUUACUGGGCGUAAAGCGCGCGUAGGUGGCUUGAUAAGCCGGUUGUGAAAGCCCCGGGCUCAACCUGGGAACGGCAUCCGGAACUGUCCAGCUAGAGUGCCGGAGAGGAAGGUAGAAUUCCCGGUGUAGCGGGGAAAUGCGUAGAGAUCGGGAGGAAUACCAGUGGCGAAGGCGGCCUUCUGGACUGACACUGACACUGAGGUGCGAAAGCGUGGGUAGCACACAGGAUUAGAUACCCUGGUAGUC